ACCCUAGAGAUAGGGCUUUCCCUUCGGGGACAGAGUGACAGGUGGUGCAUGGUUGUCGUCAGCUCGUGUCGUGAGAUGUUGGGUUAAGUCCCGCAACGAGCGCAACCCUUGUCGUUAGUUGCCAUCAUUAAGUUGGGUACUCUAGCGAGACUGCCGGUGACAAACCGGAGGAAGGUGGGGAUGACGUCAAAUCAUCAUGCCCCUUAUGACCUGGGCUACACACGUGCUACAAUGGACGGUACAACGAGCAGCGAAACUGCGAAGUCAAGCGAAUCUCUUAAAGCCGUUCUCAGUUCGGAUUGCAGGCUGCAACUCGCCUGCAUAAAGUCGGAAUCGCUAGUAAUCGUGGAUCAGCAUGCCACGGUGAAUACGUUCCCGGGCCUUGUACACACCG
rnacentral:rRNA from 1 species